CCACGACAGGCGGGGGGUUGGCGGUCCCCUGUAUCCGAAACCCGCCACAUGCGGAGCCGAUAGGCCACCAUGAGGCCCGCAGGGUCAGUGUAGGGACGCCACGCGGUGUUGAAGGUUGGGUCCCACGCAGCGGCUGCCCGUGAACCUGGUCAGGCCCGGAAGGGAGCAGCCAUAAGCGGGAUUAGCUGGGUGCCGUGGGGUAGCCCAUCUGGAGCCAAACGGACGUUACCUUGCUGGUUCUGCGAAGUCGAAGGUGGUGUCGUGG
rnacentral:SRP_RNA from 1 species